rnacentral:rRNA from 1 species
UAGGACGAACGCUGGCGGCGUGCCUAAUACAUGCAAGUAGAACGCUGAAGAGAGGAGCUUGCUCUUCUUGGAUGAGUUGCGAACGGGUGAGUAACGCGUAGGUAACCUGCCUUGUAGCGGGGGAUAACUAUUGGAAACGAUAGCUAAUACCGCAUAACAAUGGAUGACACAUGUCAUUUAUUUGAAAGGGGCAAUUGCUCCACUACAAGAUGGACCUGCGUUGUAUUAGCUAGUAGGUGAGGUAAUGGCUCACCUAGGCGACGAUACAUAGCCGACCUGAGAGGGUGAUCGGCCACACUGGGACUGAGACACGGCCCAGACUCCUACGGGAGGCAGCAGUAGGGAAUCUUCGGCAAUGGGGGCAACCCUGACCGAGCAACGCCGCGUGAGUGAAGAAGGUUUUCGGAUCGUAAAGCUCUGUUGUAAGUCAAGAACGGGUGUGAGAGUGGAAAGUUCACACUGUGACGGUAGCUUACCAGAAAGGGACGGCUAACUACGUGCCAGCAGCCGCGGUAAUACGUAGGUCCCGAGCGUUGUCCGGAUUUAUUGGGCGUAAAGCGAGCGCAGGCGGUUUGAUAAGUCUGAAGUUAAAGGCUGUGGCUCAACCAUAGUUCGCUUUGGAAACUGUCAAACUUGAGUGCAGAAGGGGAGAGUGGAAUUCCAUGUGUAGCGGUGAAAUGCGUAGAUAUAUGGAGGAACACCGGUGGCGAAAGCGGCUCUCUGGUCUGUAACUGACGCUGAGGCUCGAAAGCGUGGGGAGCGAACAGGAUUAGAUACCCUGGUAGUCCACGCCGUAAACGAUGAGUGCUAGGUGUUGGAUCCUUUCCGGGAUUCAGUGCCGCAGCUAACGCAUUAAGCACUCCGCCUGGGGAGUACGACCGCAAGGUUGAAACUCAAAGGAAUUGACGGGGGCCCGCACAAGCGGUGGAGCAUGUGGUUUAAUUCGAAGCAACGCGAAGAACCUUACCAGGUCUUGACAUCCCGAUGCUAUUUCUAGAGAUAGAAAGUUACUUCGGUACAUCGGUGACAGGUGGUGCAUGGUUGUCGUCAGCUCGUGUCGUGAGAUGUUGGGUUAAGUCCCGCAACGAGCGCAACCCCUAUUGUUAGUUGCCAUCAUUCAGUUGGGCACUCUAGCGAGACUGCCGGUAAUAAACCGGAGGAAGGUGGGGAUGACGUCAAAUCAUCAUGCCCCUUAUGACCUGGGCUACACACGUGCUACAAUGGUUGGUACAACGAGUUGCGAGUCGGUGACGGCGAGCUAAUCUCUUAAAGCCAAUCUCAGUUCGGAUUGUAGGCUGCAACUCGCCUACAUGAAGUCGGAAUCGCUAGUAAUCGCGGAUCAGCACGCCGCGGUGAAUACGUUCCCGGGCCUUGUACACACCGCCCGUCACACCACGAGAGUUUGUAACACCCGAAGUCGGUGAGGUAACCUUUUGGAGCCAGCCGCCUAAGGUGGGACAGAUGAUUGGGGUGAAGUCGA